GGCAAGUGUGAUUCUGGGCAAGAAAGGAAUUCUAAAAAAAGGUCAUUGGCAGGAUUUACAGUAUGUUGACACAGCAAUCCAGAUUCUCAAAUAAGUGACACAGUACUUGCAGACAGCAAUAUUGGUCUUUAAAUGGUAAAUGCUUUGGACCCAUCACAAUGAAUGUUCACCAACGAAUUUCUGUACUGAAGUACUUUUUAAUGUUUUUCAAUGGAAUUUUCUUGAUAUUAGGAAUUGUUAUUCUUGGAUGUGGGUUAUGGAUUUUAU